CCAAGGAUUAGACACAGCGGGCUUUACAAUUUAAUGAAAACAGCUGUUGAAACAACAAUUAAGGCAAACAAUAGUUUGCCUGGAAAACUAUUAAUUAUGUAAAGUUAUGCAGAAAGUGGAAUACGCUUUUAUUCAGGGCCUUCUACAGCCACCGAGCUGCCUUCCAUUCCAGGGCUCUCAAGUGUCAGGAAGUGGGGGUGCUGGUAGGAAGCGGCUACACUGCCUGUGGAGUGAAAUCUCUUGAAGUAUGCAAGAAGCACACUAUUGAACAAGGAUUGUACGUCCUGCGUGAUGCAGACAGCUGAGAUGUUAGGCUGAAACGGGCUGUCCAGAAAUAUAUCUCUUUCUGUAAAUUGUAGCUGCAGAACGGAGCAAUAUCUUACUCCUCUCAAAAAGAAAAAAAGCAUCGUAUCACAAGCACAGAUAGUAAAGAUAAACUAUGUCAUAACAGAAAAAUCCCUGUGAAGUUCUCCAAAGAAUGCUAUGCUACUUCCAGACCCUGCAACUAUAAUUAUGCCUUGCAUAAUUAAGCCAGAAAGAACAUCCCCUGCCAACUCUAAGCACCCCUGUUUACAUCAAAAAGCAAUAGCAAAAUGUACUCUAGAAGGUUCUGGCCAAAGUAAUUGAGUGGGCUGCCUGAGCCUAGCGCUGCUUUCUAAAUAUUGUCCCUGGGUUAGGAACUGGAGGGACAAGGAGGGAGGGAAGCACGUAGGAGAAUGCGCCAGAGGCCUAUUGACUUUUCCUGCCUGGGAAUGAUGUCAUGGAGUUCAGUGACAUUGGGGGCUGGUGUCAACUGAAGUCUCAUGGCACAUUCGCCCAGGUGCUUCUACUGGGGAGCUUCAGACCUGUCGCUCCAUUACGUGUUGGCCUUCAUAUGCUCUGAAUCCCUGAACUCACAUGAAAAGGUUCAGAGCGUUAGGCCAGGGUGUAGACACAUUCUUGACAUCGAGGAGUACAAAGAGGAUUCUUCUGCUUGCAGUUCAAUCAGUCUUUCUUUGGAGCUUUCUUUGUAGGUUGCUGCAGCUGGAACAUGAAAAGAGAGACACAGACAAACAGAGAAAGACAGAGAGACCGAGAAAAAGAAAAAAAUAGCAAGGCACCGAGGAAAAAGGGGAAAAAAAAACAAACCAAAACCAAACCAAAGCCACAAACUGAAAAAAAAAUCCCUAUAAAAUAGAAGUGUAUUAUGUUUUUGUGUAUUUUCGAAAUGUAGCCAAACUAAACCAUUAAAUGAGGAUUUUGUUUCACAGAGUCUGCAAACUAUUCAACGCUAACCCACUACACCAAGAAUGUGGUGCCAACCAAAAUAUGUCAAGAUUAGUAG
ensembl:lncRNA